CAAUCGCCUUCAUCCCAGAUCUCCAAGAGUCGAGUUGUUUGGGAAUGCAGUCUCUAAGUGGGUGGUAAAUUCCAUCUAAAGUUAAAUACCGGCGAGAGACCGAUAGCGAACAAGUACAGUGAUGGAAAGAUGAAAAGCACUUUGAAAAGAGAGUGAAAAAGUACGUGAAAUUGUUGAAAGGGAAGGGCUGCAAGCAGACACUUAACUGGGCCAGCAUCGGGGCGGCGGGAAGACAAAACCACCGGGGAAGUACCUCUCGAGGAUUAUAACCCCGGUCUCAAUCUCCACGACCGACCCGUAGGUCCUGUCCAUCUAAGGCAUGACUG
rnacentral:rRNA from 1 species